CCACCAGGGAUCAUUUCCUGGGAUGUUUUAAAAAUAAUUUAUUUCUAGAAAAGUCUUUCAUCAUUUUCCUUCAGGUCACGGAGGCUGAGAUGGCUGACGGCACAGGUGGCUGUGGGCUGAUGUGUCACUUUUGACCUCAAACUGAGGCAGCAGGGGGACGAAGUGGCCGCGAGGCACAGUAUCUGGCAUAUGUGAGUGGCUUCAUGAUGGAGAGAGUGGAUUUGUCACGAAAGUGAGUUCAGCCAUUCCUUGCUGUCUCACAUGCCACCUCUUGACAUGGGAUGCCCCCGCCAUGGGAUGCCCUCGCCAUGGGAUGCCCUCGCCAUGGGAUGACAGCAAGAAGGCCCUUGCUUGAGUGAGCCCCUCCAUCUUUGGCUCUCCGGCCUCCAGGACUGUUAGAAAUACAUCUCUGUUCUUUGUAAAUUACCCAGGCUGUGGUACUCUGUUAUGGCAACACAAAACAGACUCAAGACACCACUACGUGGAUGAAGAAACAGGCCCAAGAGGAAGCACCAGCUGGCCCAGAUGCUUCUCAUCUUUAGAGCUGAGCUGCAGGCUGGAGACCUGGAAGGCCCUCGCAGCACCUGCUCUCACCCUCUCCCCUCACGAAAGCACAGGAACUUGGGUUUGGAGCCUAUGAAAAGGGCUGGAAUCUGACUCUGCUCUGUGACCCUGGGCAAGUCACUGCCCCUCUCUGGGCUUCAGUUUCCUCCUUGGUAACACAGAAUGAUUAUACCUACCCCUUGGGUUUGUUGACCUGAAUCUACCUCUGAGUCAUUGCCUUUCCUUCUUGCUGCAGCCACACUGGCCCCUUGAUGGUUCCUUGAACACAACAAGCCCUUGCCCACCUCAGGGCCUUUGCACGUGCAGUGCCAGAUGCCUGGAAUGCCCUUCCUUCCCAUCUCCCCAUGGCCGGUUCAUUCUCGUCUUUCUUGGCUCAAAUGUUACCUCCCCAACCUAGAUAGCACCCCUGCCACCUCUUCAGCCUGUCUUACUCUUCCUCAAGCACUUCUGGAGGUAUCUUGCUAUUUAUCUUGUUUGUAUCUUUUUCAGCUCCAUGAGGGCAGGACAUCUUGUCUGUUUCAUUCACAAUGUGUUCCCAGAGCUCAGCACAGUGUCAGGCACACACUAGGUGCUUAAGAAACAACUGCUUCCUCUACCUCUUCCCCUGCCAGCCCCAAGUUCAGCUAACUGGCUGUGUGACCCUGGGGAUUGCUUUUCACCUCUCUGGUCCCUUAUUCUCCCUUGUGGACAAAGGACGGCCUGGGCAUGAGUUUCUUCAAGGACUCAGGUAGCAAUAAAAUUCCUGGGACCCCAGCUUCAUUAUCUCCCCAGGCAAUGAGGUAGAGAGGAAGAAGGCAGGUGAGCAAGGACCAGCCUCCGCCACGCAGACACCCUCUUUCCGGCUUCUCUGUCCUCCCACUUUGCCCUGGGUUUGUGGACUUACUCUGGGCAGAUCUCCAUGACCAGCCACCCCCUCCCUUGGCAUGUCUGUCAGCACCCUUGGGGGAAAGAAUUUGGAAAGGGGAGGGAGAAAAAGAAAGCAGGGUGCGAGAGGAUGGUUCCCACACCUGUGUAAAUAAUUUGUCAUCUUAAAAUGCUCAAGUAUGCUCACCUUUAA